GACGAACGCUGGCGGCGUGCCUAAUACAUGCAAGUCGAACGCAGUGGGGACGGGUGAUUAACCAGUGGGUAACCUCCCAUCAGAGGGGAUAACCCUUGGAAACAGGUGCUAAACCGAUACUGAUGUAUGGACCCGCGGGGCAUUAGCUAGUUGGUGAGGUAACGGCUCACCAAGGCCACGAUGCAUAGCCGACCUGAGAGGGUGAGCGGCCACACGGGGACUGAGACACGGCCCAGACUCCUACGGGAGGCAGCCGGAGGGAAUCUUCGGCAAUGGACGAAAGUCUGACCGAGCAACGCCGCGUGAGUGAAGAAGGUUUUCGGAUCGUAAAACUCUGUUGUUAGAGAAGCGGUAUCUAACCAGAAAGCCACGGCUAACUACGUGCCAGCAGCCGCGGUAAUUC
rnacentral:rRNA from 1 species